CCUUGCCCACCCCUGCCCAGAGGUCUGGGGAAGGGUCAGGGAGGGUCUGCCCAGUGCAUAGCAACCCCACCUUGGGAAUGAGGAAGGAUGUGGGGUGGGGGAAAGAGGGACAAAGGCAUUUGUCGAUUUCCUGACAGAAGUAAUUACAGAUGAGACUAUCUUAUUCUCUCCACCAUAAUAACACCACUAUAAAUGAAGAAUUCUUUAAAAUAUAAUACAAAACUGACACCGAAAGAAAGCAAGUUUCCAAAACAACAGCUUUGUUUGAAAUGACUUGUUUUGUUUGUUUCGUGCCACAAGUGGCAAACCAGUGUACAAAAAUGUCACAGACAAGAGCAACAACAAGCGACUGGGUUUUCCUGAUCACGAAUUGGCUCACUCUAUAUACAGAAGAGGAAGGCUCACUCCCUCUCGGGGACUCUGCCCACCUCUGAGGGGGCAGGCCAGGGCAGGGCGUGCAGUGGGAGGCCCCGUCCCAGUCUGGGGCCCUGCCAAGGAGUGUGCGAAGGACUGCGGACACCCUCCCUUAUGCCUGCUCCUGAUUCAUCAAAACCAGCCCCAGCGUCUUGUCCUGCAGUGUCACGCAUGGCUCUUCUUUCUCCUCCCCCACCUCCCUUUCAGUCUUCUGAAGAGGACAGAUGACUCUGGAUCAACGUCUACAAAUCCAGAGAAGUCUUUCUGGCCAAGCGAGGGGGAGGAAGAGCCUUCUGCCAGCCAGAGCUGCCCACCUCACUCCCAGGGUGCUGCCCAGGCCCAACACCAGUGCACGGAGGCCUGCUGACAACUCGCUAUCUGUGAGGAGCUGUGCCCGCUCCACGAAACACUGAAUUCUCAACGAGCACAAAUAGCAAAACCCUGAUGGAGGCUGCGGCAAAAGGGAUGAUCUGAUAGCUAGACUUGAGGUACUGGACGGUUAAGUGCGCCGAGCACUCCCCUUAUCCCAACCACCCUGCAAGCAGCUUCUGUGAAUGCUAACAAGUUCGAGGAGAAAGAGAAUAUUGUCUUGGGGAGACUGAGUCCGUGGCUUCCUCGCAAGCUGAUAGAGGAACACGUCACAGGGCCUCCAGGAAAAAGAUGGGCCAGAUCAUCUUUGGUGUACAGAACCAAACACUGGGGGCAGAGAGGCAUUGCAAGCAGGCAUGACCAUCUCUCUACAAGUUGGCCAGCUGAACAGACUAUUCUCAUUGGCCCAGAUCCUCGGCCAAGGCUACCCGGGGACUUGAGGGAACACUCCUUUCCCUUCCUCAAGCUGUUUUAAAAGAAACUGUCCACUUCUACAAACACUCUCUCAGACACACACUGAGCUCCCACAUGCUGGCAAAUGGCAUAUGGAAACUUGGCCAAGGUGGUUGGGGAACCUCAGUGGCACUGACAGGAAAGCCCUGGGGGAGGAGCUGGUAAGCCUGGGCCUACUGGUACAGGGGCCACCCUCCAAGGCAGGCUGCUGUGGGUCUGGCCAGGUCACCUCUCUACAUGGGCUUGGCCCAAGGUAAGAGUGAGGUACAGACCACUUCAGAUGCCUGCUGCUCCCCAAUACCUCAAACACAGGCCAUGACUCCCCAUAGAUCCUGGGGACUGGGCUCACUCUGUUCCUUCCACCAAUGUUUCUGAGCCAACUUGGCCCCCAGAAACCCUGCAUCCCCCCUCACUUCCCCCUUCCCCUGACAGGUGCAUCUGUCUCUGGCCUGCCCAGGGCCAGGCACAUGGCUUUCACUUUCUUCUUUCCUUCCAAGCAGCAGAAAGUGCCAGCCAGAAUGGGACGCUGAGCUGUUGCCAGGGCAAAGGCAAGCUUUUAGAGGCAUGCCAAUGUGAGGAAAACUUGGGCCGACUGGCAAUGGCCAUGCCACAGAGACAGGGAGGAAGAGAGAGCCUGCGAAGUCACUGUGUCACUGUGUCACUCCAAAGCUGAGCAUCUGCCCCACCCAGGCUGCUGGCCCCCAGCUGAGGUACGGAUCAUCUGCCUACAGAGACUCCAUAUUCUGGCAGGGGACAGGACAGGCCCCCAGGGGCUCCUCUCAUGACCUCCUUCCAACCUUUCCUUUUGUAAAGAGGACAAGGGGCAUUGAGGCCUCAUAUUUCCUCAUCAGCCAUUCCUACACGCAGCAGCAUGAUGGUGGGCAGGGCGAAUCCAGCCACUCAAGAGGUGCCUCUUCUGGAAGGCAACCCUAGGGUGAGAGGCACUAAGAAAAACUUGGCCAAGCUCUCAAAGAGGGCAGACAAUGAAGGUUACAUGCCGCGAGGAGCUCAUGAGAAGUAAGAGCACUCGGUGUUCUCCCUCUUGCUCCCCCAUGCCCUGGGGAUUUAUCACCUCAUUGCCAACAGGCCUCUGCAAAAGGGCUCUCAUGCUGGCUUCCCUGGGCGUCACCUUGCUCUGACAGACUCUCCUGCAUUCUGCUGCUUCCUGUAUGUCCAUUUGCUAAAAUCGUGACCACUGAGGCACUGAAGCUCGAUCUAGGUCUAAUACAGUAAAACCUGAAAUACUGGAACUGGCACAGGGCAACUGGGUUGCCUAGAGUGGGAGAGGGGAGGCCCAUCUCAGGAAGUCACUGAACCAUCUUUUCUGUUCUUAAGCAAAUCUGUUUUUACUAAGAGCCAACAAGGAGUCAGCAAAUGCUCAGCCACUGCUUCCCUUUUUGAGGUCCAUGCAUGAGUGAGCUCAAGUCUUUCAACAAAAGGUCUUCCUUUUGGAGCACUUGAACCUCCACCCAUGGGGACCUGAUUCCUUGGUACCUCCCUUUCAAACUAGACAUGGGCUUUGUGGGUGGGCAGGGCAGAGAGCCUGUGAUGCCCCCCACACUAAACAAGUAAGCAUUGAGUCCGGCUGCACUAAUGACAUCUGGCCCUAGGGAAACAACACUGGAAGGAUCUGUAUCUUCCCAAACCCAGGAUGCUGACAUAUCCUGGAAACCCACAAAAUGGAUUGACAGAAGCCCCUCCAGAGACAUGACCUGAUGCAAGGAUUCUCCAAACUCAAAAACAAAUGAGCAAACAAACAAA